rnacentral:rRNA from 1 species
AUUGAACGCUGGCGGCAGGCCUAACACAUGCAAGUCGAACGGUAACAGGGAUCAGCUUGCUGAUUCGCUGACGAGUGGCGGACGGGUGAGUAAUGUCUGGGAAACUGCCUGAUGGAGGGGGAUAACUACUGGAAACGGUAGCUAAUACCGCAUAACGUCGCAAGACCAAAGAGGGGGACCUUCGGGCCUCUUGCCAUCGGAUGUGCCCAGAUGGGAUUAGCUAGUAGGUGGGGUAACGGCUCACCUAGGCGACGAUCCCUAGCUGGUCUGAGAGGAUGACCAGCCACACUGGAACUGAGACACGGUCCAGACUCCUACGGGAGGCAGCAGUGGGGAAUAUUGCACAAUGGGCGCAAGCCUGAUGCAGCCAUGCCGCGUGUAUGAAGAAGGCCUUCGGGUUGUAAAGUACUUUCAGCGGGGAGGAAGGGAGUAAAGUUAAUACCUUUGCUCAUUGACGGUACCCGCAGAAGAAGCACCGGCUAACUCCGUG